rnacentral:rRNA from 1 species
UGGGGAAUAUUGCACAAUGGGGGGAAACCCUGAUGCAGCGACGCCGCGUGAAGGAAGAAGUAUCUCGGUAUGUAAACCUUCUAUCAGCAGGGAAGAUAGUGACGGUACCUGACUAAGAAGCCCCGGCUAACUACGUGCCC